GUCGACGAUGAUGCCCAGCUUGCUGGGCGGAUUAGUGGCGAACGGGUGAGUAAUACGUGAGUAACCUGCCCUUGACUCUGGGAUAAGCCUGGGAAACUGGGUCUAAUACUGGAUACUACCUCCUUCCGCAUGGUGGGUGGUGGAAAGGGUUUUACUGGUUUUGGAUGGGCUCACGGCCUAUCAGCUUGUUGGUGGGGUAAUGGCUCACCAAGGCGACGACGGGUAGCCGGCCUGAGAGGGUGACCGGCCACACUGGGACUGAGACACGGCCCAGACUCCUACGGGAGGCAGCAGUGGGGAAUAUUGCACAAUGGGCGAAAGCCUGAUGCAGCGACGCCGCGUGAGGGAUGACGGCCUUCGGGUUGUAAACCUCUUUCAGUAGGGAAGAAGCGAGAGUGACGGUACCUGCAGAAGAAGCGCCGGCUAACUACGUGCCAGCAGCCGCGGUAAUACGUAGGGCGCAAGCGUUGUCCGGAAUUAUUGGGCGUAAAGAGCUCGUAGGCGGUUUGUCGCGUCUGCUGUGAAAGCCCGGGGCUCAACCCCGGGUCUGCAGUGGGUACGGGCAGACUAGAGUGCAGUAGGGGAGACUGGAAUUCCUGGUGUAGCGGUGAAAUGCGCAGAUAUCAGGAGGAACACCGAUGGCGAAGGCAGGUCUCUGGGCUGUUACUGACGCUGAGGAGCGAAAGCAUGGGGAGCG
rnacentral:rRNA from 1 species